rnacentral:miRNA from 1 species
GCCGUAGCCUGCGUAGCAGUCGCUUUAUUUUUUUAAAUUUUAUUUCAGGAUAUUUUUAUUUGAGGAUUUUUUAAUCCUCAAAUAAAAAUAUCCUGAAAUAAAAUUUAAAAAAAUAAAGCGACUGCUACGCAGGCUAAACAGGC